rnacentral:tRNA from 1 species
GCGGGUGUAGCACAACGGUCAGUGCGCUUGUUUUCCAAACAAGAUAAGAGGGUUCGACUCCCUUCACCCGCU